rnacentral:rRNA from 1 species
UACGUAGGGUGCAAGCGUUGUCCGGAAUUAUUGGGCGUAAAGAGCUCGUAGGUGGUUUGUCGCGUUGUCCGUGAAAACUCACAGCUUAACUGUGGGCGUGCGGGCGAUACGGGCAGACUGGAGUACUGCAGGGGAGACUGGAAUUCCUGGUGUAGCGGUGGAAUGCGCAGAUAUCAGGAGGAACACCGGUGGCGAAGGCGGGUCUCUGGGCAGUAACUGACGCUGAGGAGCGAAAGCGUGGGGGGCGAACAGG